GUAGAGACGGCAUGUCGAAGAAGAAAACUCUUACCCGUACCCGCAGACCCAGUAAUAAAAACAGACUUUCCUUCAGAUAUCAACGAGAUAAUUUAUUUCUGCUUUGAACUUACGUUAAUUUUCUCACAUUCAUCGACGUCAAUACUACUUUCUCUGGACCUCUUCUUCCUAGUUUUCAAACCUUGUGAUGCCAUUUCCUAUUGUGAACGCCAGUAUCUCUGGAAUCAAUUAGAGUAACACAAGAAUGAUAUAUUAGACUAAUAAGAGUAAAGCUUCCAAACCUGUUUGCGUGUAAAUAUUCAGUAUGUCUUCCAGAUCUGCGAUGGACGACGAGUGAGCAUAACUUGUAGCCAGGAGUGAUCUUGAGUGUUAGUCGGACGUGAGGAUAAAUCAGUUCAAGAACUCGCUUCCUCUAAAAUAUAUUCGAUCACCUUCCUGUGAAGAACCAGCGAAAAAGGUAAGUCACCA
rnacentral:lncRNA from 1 species